AAUUCACUAGCUCAGUUGGUAAGAGUGCUGGAUUGGCAAUCUAGAGGUUCGUUGUUUGAUUCCAGGUUCAAUUA
rfam:Aedes albopictus isolate Foshan contig77689, whole genome shotgun sequence.